AUUGAACGCUGGCGGCAUGCCUAACACAUGCAAGUCGAACGGAGAUAGGGGCAACCUUAUUUCAGUGGCGGACGGGUGAGGAAUGCGUCGGAAUCUGCCCUAUGGGUGGGGGAGUAACACAGGGAAACGUUAGUGCUAAUACCGCAUAAUGUCGAGAGACCAAAGCAGGGGACCGGCAAGGCCUUGCGCGAUAGGAUGAGCCGACGCCCGAUUAGCUAGUUGGUAGGGUAAAGGGACCUACCAAGGCGGACGAUCGGUAGCUGGUCUGAGAGGAUGAUCAGCCACACUGGGACGUGAGACACGGCCCAGACUCCUACGGGAGGCAGCAGUGGGGAAUAUUGGACAAUGGGCGGCAAGCCUGAUCCAGCAAUAGCCGCGUGUGUGAAG
rnacentral:rRNA from 1 species